GACCUAUUUGCUCAAGAGGCAUGGAACAUGAUUUAUCCUCUCUAACGAGGAAUACAAAUAGAGUGAUAGAAGCAUGGAUUAGAAACUAUCGAUUAAGAAGAAUCCACACUUGCAUUAACUUUUAUUAAAAAGGUCUUUCAUAAAAGGAUGCUGUACAAAUAAUACAUUAAUCAAAAUAUACACGGAUCCAAAUGAGAAAAAAAAUCAGAAUAUUUUUUUGCUUUGGAAUUCCUCAUUUACUCCCCAAUUGAAGGACAACACAAGUUUAACUAAAGGGCGUUGGUUCAUCCAAACUUUAGUCAGCUGAGGAAACAAAAAAUACCGCACGUUCACAACGUCCCUUGGAAACAUCAAAUGCCUUCUACACCUUCCCACUAUGUAAAGUAAGGAACAGUCUCCUUAUCCCAGCUCCCAGGGAUCAUGUGGUGCUGUGGGGACCUUCCUUGGAAACCUGUUCAACAUUGCCCCUGAUAAAAUAGUCUAAAGGGGUCAAAUCUGGUGAGAUAGGAACCCAAGAACUCGGCUGGAGGUACAUCAAAUUCUUAUAAUCAAGAAAAUUGAGUGUUAUUUGGCUGGUACAGGAUAUCCGUCUUGCUUCCAGAUCCGAGGUAGAUCUUUCAUUAUGCUAUUUUGUAGAAAACAGAUGUAAGUCUUGGCGUUGAUCUUCAAGUACUACUUGAAGAUGAAGGGCGGUAUAAUUUGACCCAUCCUAGUAACAAGGACAAGAACAAUAAUAUGCUGUGUUUAUUUGGCAUUCAUGAUCCUUUACAAGGUUUUAAGUGCAAGAUUACCUCAAAAUUUGAAAUAAAG
rnacentral:lncRNA from 1 species